CGCAUCUGUGCAUGCAGCAUAUCAAUAAGCGGAGGAAAAGAAACUAACAAGGAUUCCCCUAGUAACGGCGAGUGAAGCGGGAAGAGCUCAAAUUUGAAAUCUUAAAGGGUUUCCCUUUACGAAUUGUAGUUUAAAGAAGUGUUUUCUGUUGAGGUUUUGGUAAAAGUUCUUUGGAAUAGGACAUCAUAGAGGGUGAGAAUCCCGUAUUUGACCUUUACUUUCAACUUUGUGAUACACUUUCAAAGAGUCGGAUUGUUUGGGAAUGCAGUCCAAAAUGGGUGGUAAAUUUCAUCUAAAGCUAAAUAUUGGCGAGAGACCGAUAGCGAACAAGUACCGUGAGGGAAAGAUGAAAAGAACUUUGAAAAGAGAGUUAAACAGUACGUGAAAUUGUCAAAAGGGAAGCGUUUGACACCAGUGUUGUUUUUCUGAAAAUCAAUUAAAGAACUGUUUAUGCUAAGCUUGUUUAGACUUUAUCAGCUAACUGUUUAGUUUUGAGCUUUUCUUUAAUGCACUUUUCAGUUAACAGGUCAACAUCAAUUUCUUUUGCUGUAAAAAAGCUUGAGGAAGGUGGCUUGAGAUUCGUCUUAAGUGUUUAUAGCCUCUUGCCUAUGCAGUCGGAGAGAUUGAGGUCUGCAGCGUAGAUCCUUCGGGGCUAAAUGCAUUUGUGCUAAGUUAUAGCAUUUUAUAGACAACUUGUUGACUAUGAUUUAGUCUUGUAGCUUACUCGCUUAUGUUAUUUUACCUACGCUUAGGAUGUUGAGCGCAUGUCUCUCUCU
rnacentral:rRNA from 1 species